AUUCGGAUGGCGAGAGAUGGUAGAUCAGUGCUAAGGAUUAGUAGUUGAAAAACUUGGAUUUUUAGUUAGGUCUCAACAAAGGUAAACAAAACAAAAUUACAUUAAUUGAAUAAAGAAAACAGUCAAUGAGAAUUUAAAUUCAUUACAAACUCUAAAUUAGCAAAACCUUGGACUCGAUGCCAUACCAAAUUUCUCUAUUUGCCAUGAAUCACCUUUUUUUGAUACCACCAAUUUGGAUAAGAUUGCUGCUGGGAUUGAUAGAGCCAGAAGAACCUGUUGGGAUUGAUAGAGCCAGAAGAGCACUAGGUGUUGGUUGGAAUGGUGAGAGGACGAAUUAUUUUGGAAGCAAUGCCAUAGAGGACAGAAUGUGUAGUGCAAUCUUUGGGUUUGAUGGUCUCAUCGUUAUUGUGGCAGUUACCAAGAGGGAGAGAGAGGUUGAACAAGCGAAAGUCGGUGCCAUCCAAGAAGAUGAACUUGUUGUUCUUGAGGACCCGAAUGUGCAUGGCAGAGAUGCCUAUGCGUUCUUGGAGAAGGACCAAUCUCCCUCCUGUUGUGGUGGAGACAAAACAGAGAGAGAGAGAGAUAGG
rnacentral:misc_RNA from 1 species